rnacentral:rRNA from 1 species
AUUGAACGCUGGCGGCAGGCCUAACACAUGCAAGUCGAGCGGAUGAAGGGAGCUUGCUCCUGGAUUCAGCGGCGGACGGGUGAGUAAUGCCUAGGAAUCUGCCUGGUAGUGGGGGAUAACGUCCGGAAACGGGCGCUAAUACCGCAUACGUCCUGAGGGAGAAAGUGGGGGAUCUUCGGACCUCACGCUAUCAGAUGAGCCUAGGUCGGAUUAGCUAGUUGGUGGGGUAAAGGCCUACCAAGGCGACGAUCCGUAACUGGUCUGAGAGGAUGAUCAGUCACCCUGGAACUGAGACACGGUCCCGACUCCUACGGGAGGCACGAGUGGGGAAUAUUGGACGAUGGGCGAAAGCAUGAUCCAGCCAUGCCGCGUGUGUGAAGAAGGUCUUCGGAUUGUAAAGCAUUUUAAGUUGGGAGGAAGGGCAGUAAGUUAAUACCUUGCUGUUUUGACGUUACCAACAGAAUAAGCACCGGCUAACUUCGUG